CCGACCUUAGCUCAGUUGGUAGAGCGGAGGACUGUAGUGGGCUAAUUACCUGUAAGCCAUCCUUAGGUCGCUGGUUCGAAUCCGGCAGGUCGGA
rfam:Ricinus communis cultivar Hale ctg_1100012358357, whole genome shotgun sequence.